GACGAACGCUGGCGGCGUGCCUAACACAUGCAAGUCGAGCGGGGUUGAAGCGAGAGGUAACUCGAACUUCUACCUAGCGGCGGACGGGUGAGUAACGCGUGGGCAACCUGCCUCAAGGUCUGGGAUAACAGCCCGAAAGGGCUGCUAAUACCGGGUAUGCUUGUGGCCUCGCAUGGGGCUACGAGCAAAGGGGAAACCCGCCUUGAGAUGGGCCCGCGUCCCAUCAGCUAGUUGGUGAGGUAACAGCUCACCAAGGCGACGACGGGUAGCCGGCCUGAGAGGGUGACCGGCCACACUGGGACUGAGACACGGCCCAGACUCCUACGGGGGGCAGCAGUGGGGGAUCUUGCACAAUGGGCGAAAGCCUGAUGCAGCGACGCCGCGUGAGCGAAGAAGGCCUUCGGUUGUAAAGCUCUGUCUGGAGGGACGAAGGAAGUGACGGUACCUCCGGAGGAAGCCACGGCUAACUACGUG
rnacentral:rRNA from 1 species